UCAGAACAGGACUGCUUGUGUGCCGUACAACUUGACUCUCAAGGGUCGCCUGUGUGUAGUCAGCCGCCAGCAUCUCACGGAGACCAUCCCCAGGGAGUGGGAAAUUUAUUUUGGGAUAAGAUUUUAAAAUCACCCAGAGUUGUCUGCCCUCAACCCCCCUCCAGAGACAGUGGCUAAAACUGUCUUCGUGAAGUUUAAGGAGGUACAGCCAUUUUCUUCGUGAGGCUGCCGUAGUGGACGCCGUUCUCUGAGUGUGGCAAUGCUGUCCAAAGGCAACAAGAAGGACAAAGAUACAGGAACUCCUCUUCAAGUCCAGGCUGGUCACGGGCAGCUUCCCUCAGUGAUGAACUAUGAUAUGUUGUUACCUGAAAGAAACCCUCUCCUCCCUAAGUUGUUUUUGGUCAGUACGCUGGAUAGUUUGAUGUCAACGUGAUGCGAGCUGGAGUCAUUGGAGAAGUGGGAACCCCAAGUAAGAAAAUGUCUCCAUUAGAUCUGGCUAAGGUUGAGCAAGCCAUGUGGAGCAAGUCUGUAAGUAGCAAGUAGCACCCCUCCGUGGCCUCUGCAUCAGCUCCUGGUUCCAGUUUCCUGCCAUGACGCUCUUCAAUGAUGAACAGUGCCGUGGAAGUUUAAGCCAAAUAAACCCUUU
rnacentral:lncRNA from 1 species